rnacentral:rRNA from 1 species
UUCGCAAUGCCCGAAAGGGUGACGAAGCGACGCCGCGUGCGGGAAGAAGGCCUUCGGGUUGUAAACCGCUGUCGGGAGUUAGGAAGUGCAAGGAUGUUAAUAGCGUUCUUGCUUGACUAAGGCUCCGGAGGAAGCCACGGCUAACUCUGUGCCAGCAGCCGCGGUAAUACAGAGGCGGCAAGCGUUGUUCGGAAUUAUUGGGCGUAAAGAGCACGUAGGCGGCUGUGUAAGUCGGUUGUGAAAGCCUUCCGCUUAACGGAAGAACGGCAUCCGAUACUGCAUAGCUUGAGUGCGGGAGGGGAGAGUGGAACUUCUGGUGGAGCGGUGAAAUGCGUAGAUAUCAGAAGGAACGCCGGCGGCGAAAGCGGCUCUCUGGUCCGAAACUGACGCUGAGUGUGCGAAAGCUAGGGGAGCAAACGGGAUUAGAUACCCCGGUAGUCCUAGCCGUAAACGAUGGGCACUAAGUAGAGGGGUUUUA